rnacentral:miRNA from 1 species
CAAGAACUUUUUCUGUGACUUGCG